CAGGAUUCGCAAGAACUCCCGUAACCACUGUGAACCUUACCUUCUGUUGCCUCGGCGGGCGCUGGUCUCUCCAGCGCUCACGCCCGCCGACGGCCCACAACUCAUUGUCUGACUCUAAGCAUCUCCGAGCCAUACACAAACGAAUCA
rnacentral:misc_RNA from 1 species